UCAAUGAAAUUUUAAAUAGCCGCAAUAUACUUGUGCUAAGGUAGCAUAAUCAUUUGUCUUUUAAUUAAAGACUAGAACAAAAGAUUCAACAUUUUAAUUUCUUUCUUAAUAAUAAAUACUUAACUUAUUCUAAAUAUAAAAAAAUAUUUAUAAUUUAAAAAGACGACAAGACCCUAUUGAACUUUACUAAAGUUUAACUGGGGCAGUUAAUUAAAUACAAUUUUAAUUUACAAUUUACAAAUCACCUAAUACAAUUAAAUAUAUCAAGUUACCAUAGGGAUAACAGCGUAAUAAUUUUCUAUAGUUCUUAUUUAAAAAAUAAUUUGCGACCUCGAUGUUGAAUUAAUAAUCUAUUAAAUGCAAUAAUUUAAUAAGAAAGUC
rnacentral:rRNA from 1 species